AUAAAUGCGUUGAUGAGGAGUAGUAGGAAAUGUAGUGGAUUAAGAGAGCUGUUGGUUGGUGCAAAACAGUCAUACUUCAUUCUGAACUCGCCUUGAAGUAGCUUCAUUGAAUCUCAGUAGAUGAAGCCGGUCCCUUACCGUUACUUAAGGAGGUAAAAGGAUUAUUCCUUUACUAUCUGAGUGCACACAAAUGUGUGAAUAAGAGUGGUACCGCGUAGGAUUUCAAGUCUUUCGUCUCUUCC
rnacentral:ncRNA from 1 species